CCUACGGGAGGCAGCAGUGGGGGAUAUUGCACAAUGGGGGGAACCCUGAUGCAGCGACGCCGCGUGGGUGAAGAAGCGCCUCGGCGCGUAAAGCCCUGUCAGCAGGGAAGAAAAUGACGUUACCUGAAGAAGAAGCCCCGGCGAACUACGUUCCAGCAGCCGCGGUAAGACGUAGGGGGCAAGCGUUAUCCGGAUUUACUGGGUGUAAGGGGGGCGCAGACGGCGCUGCAAGCCAGGAGUGAAAGCCCGGGGCCCAACCCCGGGACUGCACUUGGAACUGCGUGGCUGGAGUGCAGGAGGGGCAGGCGGAAUGCCUGGUGUAGCGGUGAAAUGCGUAGAUAUCAGGAGGAACACCGGUGGCGAAGGCGGCCUGCUGGACUGCAACUGACGUUGAGGCCCGAAAGCGUGGGGAGCAAACAGGAUUAGAUACCCUGGUAGUC
rnacentral:rRNA from 1 species